rnacentral:piRNA from 1 species
UCUCAGCUCAGAUCCUGGUACGAGAUGGCCC